CGACUUGAUGUCAACUGGUCAGGCGGUUCUCACUGCAGGAUCCGGGAAGGGGCGGAGGGGGGGGGGGGGGGCGGCGGGAGAGAGAGGUGAAGGAAGAGAGGGACCCAGGGAGUCAGGAACUCGGGCUCAGACACAGCGGGAGCUUCUGGCUUCAGUCAAAAUGGAAGAACAACUGGGAGGGGUGGGCUGGGUGGACUGGAGGCAGAAAUUGGCAUCGUCUCCAAAAUGAAACUUAACAUAUGGGGGUGAAAGGUGGUGGGAAUGGGGAAGCAACCAGUUCUGUCCCAAGGCCCGCAGCCAACAGAUGGAUGGCUUAGGAGAAUUAAUUGCUUGCUGGGGGAGGAAGAGGUCCAAAGCUGAAUGGAUUAAAGUAUCACAGAGCAUCAUCUUUGGAGGUUUGAUGGUACAAAGGGCCAAGAGAAAAAAAGAUGCCAAGAUAUGCAAAAUGAACAUUACUAGAGACCAUCCAAAACCAUCUAGAAGUGCUGUGUUUUCCACUAAUUCUUGAUUAAACAGCUGUGAAAGGCACAGCAGGGUAUGAAAACGCAGGCUUUUUUAAAAAAAAAAGAGAGAAAAAAACCCCAAACAGUUUUUGGAGAAGGAGGCUAUCUUUCUGCUCUUAGAAGCAACCACAAC